rnacentral:lncRNA from 1 species
AUGAUCUGCAUCCAUCACCAGGACCCACAAGGUGGACGGACAGAACAGACUACGCAUGUCCCACACACAUAUACACACUCACACACACACACAUACACACUCACACACACAUACACAUAUAUACACACUCACAUAUACACACUCACACACACAUACACACUCACUCACUCACACAUACACAUAUACACACUCACACACACAUACACACUCACACAUAUACACACUCACACACACAUACACACUCACACACAUAUACACACUCACUCACACACACAAACACACACAUAUAUAUACAUACACAUACACACUCACUCACACACACAUACACACCCACACAUAUACACACACUCACAUAUACACACUCACACACAAAUACACACUCACACACACAUACACACUCACACACACAUACACAUAUACACACUCACACACAUACACACUCACUCACUCACACACAUACACACUCACAUAUACACACUCACUCACACACACAAACACACAUAUAUAUAUACACACACAUAUACACACUCACUCACACACAUACACACAAACACACACAUAUAUACACACACACACAUACAUAUACACACUCACACACACAUAUACACACUCACACACACAAACACACACAUAUAUACACACUCACACACGCAUACAUUCACUCACACACACAUACACACUCACUCACACACACAUACACACACCCACACACACAUAUAUACACACACACAUAUACACACUCACUCACACACACAAACACAUACAUAUAUACACACUCACACACAUACACACUCACUCACACAAACACACACAUAUAUAUACAUACACACAUACACACACCCACACACACAUACACACACACUCAUACAUAUACACACUCACUCACACACACACAUAUAUACACACCCACACACUCACACACAAACACACACACAUAUAUACACUCACACACAUACACACCCACACACACACGCACACACACAUACACACUCACAUAUACACACCCACACAUAUACACACCCACACCCACACAUAUACACACUCACAUAUACACACACAUAUAUACACACUCACACACAUAUACACACUCACACACAUACACACACACAUACACACUCACACACUAUUUUUAAAUCCUGA